UGUAGGAGACCCUGGUCUGCUGUGCACGGCAACAGGAGGGGUGGAACAAACCCCCUAUCACA
rnacentral:sRNA from 12 species